CCUACGGGGGGCAGCAGUGAGGAAUAUUGGUCAAUGGACGAGAGUCUGAACCAGCCAAGUAGCGUGAAGGAUGACUGCCCUAGGGGUUGUAAACUUCUUUUAUAAAGGAAUAAAACGAGGCACGUGUGCCUUUUUGCAUGUACUUUAUGAAUAAGGAUCGGCUAACUCCGUGCCAGCAGCCGCGGUAAUACGGAGGAUCCGAGGGUUAUCCGGAUUGAUUGGGUUUAAAGGGAGCGUAGAUGGGUUGUUAAGUCAGUUGUGAAAGUUUGCGGCUCAACCGUAAAAUUGCAAUUGAUACUGGCAGUCUUGAGUACAGUUGAGGUAGGCGGAAUUCGUGGUGUAGCGGUGAAAUGCUUAGAUAUCACGAAGAACCCCGAUUGCGAAGGCAGCUUACUAAACUGUGACUGACAUUGAUGCUCGAAAGUGUGGGUAUCAAACAGGAUUAGAUACCCCUGUAGUC
rnacentral:rRNA from 1 species